GCAUCGCUUCGGCGUUUAACUUCCAUCUCCUCUCAAGAAGCCACCGUUUUCCCUCUUCGCCGCACCUCGUCCUCCUCCUCCUUAGCGAACUCGAGGACCGAUCUCCGAUGCCUCACGUGUCGGAUCGUCGAGCCCUGACGACGGUGGUGGCCAUGGAGGUCGCAAGAAACGGUAUGGUUGGCUGAACACCUCCCGACGCUCGUUGAAACCCCGUCGAAAUCCUACUCGAAUCCCUAGCCUCCGAUGGCUCCCGUUGCUGAUCGUAGAUAUCUAUAUCUCGCUGCGCGGUAGCUCGAUCAGGUCUUCCACGAAGUGGAGGUGAUCGUGAAACGGUACGAGAUUCGUCGCCUUCUAAAGGCCUGGUUGAAACCCUCGUGGCCCGAACCGCAGAUGGGCCCAAGUUUUUGGAUCAUCGAGCCGUAGGGGUGGUGGCUACUUGAUCAGGUGCAUUGUCUCUCCCAAUCUAGAUGUGGAUCUGUUGUGUUUUCUUGGGUGCUUUAUGGUUCUGCGAUGUUAUUGGGGCUGUUCUUUAAGUAUUGCGUUCGACGCAUUCUAAAGGCCCCCAACCUCAGAUGACGCACGUUUUGGAUCAUCGUGCUGUAGGGAUAGCGGCUACUUGAUCAGUUCUUGUGUUUUCGCCGCCUUCUAGAGGCCUCCAACCGCAGAUGGCAUACGUUUUGGAUCAUUGAGCUGUAGCGAUGGCGACUGCUUAAUCAGGAAGUGGAGGUCGCCAAGAAACGCCAUGGCAAACCAAACACUGCUGUUCUUCACGGAGGCUUGCAUCUGUUGCUGGGACGUGAAUUCUGCACGCCAGGUGUUUGAAGAGAUGCCCAAACCGGAUGGCUGUGCUGUGCUGCAGGGAUCAAAUUAAGCAUCCACCAUUCCAACAAUUCCAACAACUUGGUUGCCAAAGCCUGAUAUGACUGCAUUGGAUGGGCAUCCUACCUACGAUGAGCAUUUAUGGUGUUGAUCAUGGGCUGACCCUUUGUAAAUUCAAUUGUAUAUUAUGUAAACAAGCAGCCAUGAUAGCCUUUAAUUAAAAGAAUGAAGAUUUAAUUUCAAAGAUAAACUCUAGUUU